GGGGUAGAAGGAGGAAACAAAAGUGAAAGUACAAAAAGCAAAGCAGAUGGCAGAGCCGGCAGGAGGGGAAGGUGGCAGAAGCAUGAGCAAGAGGAGCUGGGGUAACAUCUUCACUCAGUUUGUAGGAUUUGUUUUCUCCUGCAACACUGUUACGUUGCAACAGCAGCAAUAACAAAAAGCUCAACUGUAGCGGACCCAUUCUCCUAAUUUCUUUGGUCAGAAGUGUUUGUGAAAUGUACCAAGUAUAAGGAUCGGUCGCUUGCUUUGCUAGUCGCCUCAGUUUUCCUUCGGUAGCCUCUGCCCGUGAUUGGAAACAAGAUUCCUUUCUUAAUCCCGUCUCUUUCAGAAACAGAGGCUUGAAUACAAGAAGUAAUGGUAAUUAACUGUUAGCAGUGUUAUGCGUUGCUAAGAAGAGUGCUCUCCCUGUUCGGUUACUUUAAAAGUAGUGUACGUCUGAAAUGUGCCUGUCAUGUUUGUUUUCUUUUUCCAUUCAGAAAUCAUUGAAAGGAUUCAUCUGUGCUAAGCUGUAUUUUGAAAUAAAAGAAUAUGAACUUGCAAAAAGAUAUAUAUCUACUUAUCUCAGUGUCCAAGAGAGAGAUCCCAGAGCACACAGGAUUCUUGGACAAAUCAGGACGAGACAGAAAAAGCUGUUGGGUGUUACAAGGUAAGUGCUCCAGUGACCCCCAGUCACGUCCAGCUUUCUUCCUUUGUAAAUGGACUUUUAAAAUGCAUCUGUGCUGUGCAUUCCUUAAGCUCAGAGAGAAAAUGUGUUGUUUGUGGACAAAUUAAAUUGUAUAAUGUACAUUUUUUAUU
rnacentral:lncRNA from 1 species